AACGCGCCGAGUCGGUAAGCGUUGAGUUUUUCCCCCCGAUGAGCUCAGUAUGUACUUCACUGUAUACUUAUCAAUACUUAGUAUAUAUAUAUAUAUAUAUAUAUGUAUUUAUAUAGUAAGUACACAGUGAAGUAAGGUGAGUAACAGUGAGACACGCGAGAGACGGCUGGUCGCCGCACGGCCUGCUGGGUAAUAUGUUAACGACAGAGAUGCGUUGAUUGGUGCUGAGCGGCGCGUGAGAAAGAAUAAAAUCAAAACAAAGUUUUAUUGAGGUAGGAGGAAGAGACGGAAACUACAGUCAUGUCUGUCUCUCUGUCUGAAGAGAGAGACAGGAUCCAGAGACAGGUGGAGGAGUUGGAGCAGAGUCUGUCUGUCUGUCUCUCUGAAACACACACUGAUCUACAGCUGCUGAGCAGUGAGACAGAUGAUGAAUCAGGAAGUGAUGACGAAGAGGACGAGUCUGCUGCAGGUCUGUUGGCUCAAAGAGAAAAAAUCCAGAAAGAGAUCGAGAACCUGGAGAACAAGCUAGGACCCCAGAGUCCUGUCUGUCUGUCAGAUGGUGAUAACAUCAUCAUCAGCAGUGAUGAGAGUGAGCUGGGUAUUUCUCUCUCUGUUGAGUCUUGUCUUCAGAUGAACCUGGUUUACCAGCAGGUGGUGCAGGAGACUCUGUGUCAGCUGGAGACACUACUGACACACAACAACAGACAACAGAGGGAACUUGUGUCUCAGUUGUCUGGACCAAUCAAAGAGCCUUCCAGAGAACAGCCGGCCCCCUCCUCCUACCAGCUGCCAAUCAACAUGUACCUGGGUCGCUUCCUGAAACCAUACUUCAAAGACAAACAGACCGGACUGGGUCCUCCAGCCAAUCAGGAGACGAAGGAGAAGAGCAGCAGGAUGAUAGGAUGUCUGGACGAAAAUAAAGUCAAGAUUAAACGAUGGGAGAGCUGGCAGAAGACUCUUCUGAUCGACUCAGUGUCCAGAGACAGUCUAAGGAGACUUGUCCAGCCCAAACUCUCCAGGGUGGACUACCUGAGUCAGAAGUUGUCGUCAGCAGAGGAGACAAACAGGCAGAAGCUCCGAGAGCAGAUCGACAGUUUGGAGAGAGAGAUUGACAAACUCAGGACGAAGGAGGAGGAGGAGCUGAUUGGUGAUCGAUACGAGGAACAUGACUGGGAAAAAAUCUCCAACAUUGAUUUUGAAGGGACGCGGGAGGCCGAUGACAUACAGUGUUUCUGGCAGAACUUCCUUCACCCGUCAAUCAGGAAGGUUGGAUGGAGUCAGGAGGAGGUGGAGCAGCUGAGAGACAUCAGCAGGAGACACCGAGAGAGACACUGGAAGAAGAUCGCUGAGGAGCUGGGGACGGGGAGGACAGCCUUCAUGUGUCUUCAGACUUUCCAGCGUUUUGUGUCAGACUCGUUGAGACGAGGCAGUUGGACGCCCAAUGAAGACGCUCUUCUCCGGGAUCUGGUGGACAAGAUGAGGAUCGGAAACUUUAUCCCCUACACUCAGAUGAGUUACUUCAUGGAGGGUCGUGACCCCCCUCAGCUGAUCUACAGGUGGAACCAGGUUCUGGACCCGAGCCUGAAGAAAGGCCUGUGGACCAAACAGGAAGACCAGCUUUUGUUGCGAGCUGUCUCACGUCACGGGGAGAAGAACUGGUGGAAGAUCCGGCUGGAGGUUCCUGGACGAACUGACAGCGCCUGCAGAGACAGGUAUCAUGACUGUCUGAAGUCGGGGACGAAGCGAGGAGCAUUUGACAAACAGGAGCAAGAGCUGCUGCUGCAGCUGGUGGAGAAAUAUGGCGUCGGUCGCUGGGCGAAGAUCGCCGCUGAGAUUCCUCAACGUUACGAUGCUCAGUGUCUGAGAGAAUGGAGGAAAGUGAGCAGACAGAGACUUUGUCCUGCUGAGAAAAAUAGAAAAGCUAAAAACCCACAAACAAGUGGAGAUGGAAAGAAGAGGAAGAAGGUAAACAUCAGGAGGAAAGUGAAGGAGGAGGAGCUGAGCAGUGAGGAGGAGCCGGAGGAGGAGGAGGUGGUGGAGUACAUGGACAGUGAUAAUGAUGAGAAGAAGAUGAAGGAGGAGGAGAAGGAGGAGGAGAAGGAGGAGGAGGAGGAGGUCGUUGAAGUGGAUAGGACUGCACAUGUAGAGGAUGAGGUGGAAGAGUACACCUGCCCUUCGAUGACUGAGUGGAUUCCAGAUGAUAAAGCAGAACAUUUCUCCUUCCUACACUUUAGACCAGUGUCGAUACCUUCUUCCUCCGAUGGCCACAGAGGGAAGCCAGUCCGCUCAACCAUCGUGGGUAAGUUUGGACGCUCUGUGAUCAUUGGACCAAAUCCACCAGAGCUGCAGUGGGAGGAGCGUCACAGAAGCAGCACCAUGAUGAUGGUGUCACCUGACCAGCUCCAAGCCCACCUGCACUACCAGGCGGCCGAGUGGAAAAAACGGGGCUUCCGGCCAAAAGGGAAACAGAUGGGCCGAUCCAUGGACAUGGUACUGAGGUACAAGCUCCAGGCUGCCGUGAUGCCCUGGAUUGGUAACCUGCUGAUCCCGACUCAAACCAGACUGACUGUGGCCGAUGCCCUGAGGGAACAAGGAGAGAAAACCAAGCUCUCCUCUACUCCUGUCUUCCAGCUGCUGCUGCAGACCAUGAACGUGGACGUCAUCGGGUGCAAGGAGAUGAUAGAGCAGAGGAAGAAGAAAGUGGUGUUUCCGACUCCGCCCCCAGACCCUUCGUCUGUCCGCAGGAAGGAUCCGCGCACUGUUGCAGGAAUCCUGCAGCAGAGGGAGCAGCAGAAGGAGUUAGACCUGCAGCACAAACUGAUCCUGACGCAGCUUCACACUCUGCAACAGCAGCAAAUGAUGCUCAAACAACCAUUCAGAACACAGCAAUUAGUUUAUCUGCACCAACCUCAGAAUCUACCCCCUCAGACUCUCCCUCCUAGCAUCCCGUCUCAGAAUCGUCCUGGUCUUCCUCAGAUGUCUCAUCUGUCAUUUCCUCAGAGUGUCUUCAUUCCUCAUCCUCUUCUCCAACCUCAGAAACCUCUUGCUCCCUCUUCCGACACAUCCCAUUUGUCUCCAUGCCGACCUCCUCCUGUGGGCGUCCUCACCUCUUCAUCUCCUCCUCUUCCUCCUGUCUCCAUGGUGCCGAUGCUCCAGAGUCCUAGCAGCUCCGCCUUAGUCCAGAAAAAGACUGUACCAUUGACUCAGAGCUUCAAAGUUGACCAGUCCUCUUCCCCUAACCCAGCUGUUUCAAUUGGUUCAACACUGGCCAAUCAACAAGCUGUUCCAUUCGUACUCCCAACCCUCGCCACCCGUCCUCUCCCUUCCUCCAGUGGUACGACAGGUGUGAAUGACGAAGGACGGAGGAAUCUGAAGCCGAGUCAAAGGGCCAGAGCUCUGAAGGAAGCUACUAAACCCAAGACUCAAAACAGGAAGAAAUCUGCUUCAUCCUCCCGAAAGAUGACUGAGACCCAGAAAACAAACUCUCCCCCUCAGACUGGGGUCCUCCCUCCUCCUCAGCAUCACACUGCAUUCUUAAGUUCAAGCUUAUCUGCUUCUUUCCACAGGGACCAUGACUACUUUAUUCAUACUAACCCCCCCCCAAGUCAACCAAGUCCUGCCCCCAAACGGCCAGACCCCAAACACUGUAAAUCUGACCCCGUCCCAGAGACGCCUCCCAAACAUCCCAGCAGAGGAAUAAAACGAAGGAGGCGGCAGGAGCAGGACGGGGUGACGAGCAGUCAGGAUGUCCAAUGUACAGAUGGGACAGGUGACCCCGGGGCCCAGGCUGAUACAGGUGCAACCCAGGAAGGAAAAAGGGUUCGGAAGCUAAGUCAGAAGGCCAGGGAGCUGCAGAAUGCGACUGUAGCCAAGGACGAAGCAAAAAAGAAGAGGAAGUCUUCUCCUUCAAAAACUCGCCCUCGUACGUCUCGCUCUAAAGAGGAAACUGUCGAUCACCCCGAGCAACCCACACUGCAUUUACUUCCUGGUCAGUCGAUAUGGGUCAUGACUCCUGGUGGUCUGGUCCAGCUCGCACUAGCCCCGCCCCAACCCCAUCAGCAGGCAUUAGUGCCGAACCCCACCUUUCCACCUCCACCUGGGAAUAGUCCAAGACACCAACUGGACACGCCUCCUCUGAGAUUCAAACCACCACCUGUACCAUAUGACCUGACCAUCCCCAUCAAUCUCCCUGCUCCACCCACUCAUCCUUCUAAGCCCCUGAAACCUGUCCCAAGCCCAGGUUUGUUCCCCCUCCGCUCCUGUUACCCUCAGACUCCUCCCAAAAUCUUCCUGCCCUAUAAGGGUGCAAUCAGAGUGGACGAGGCCGAGCCACCUCCCCUCAGGAGGGAGGCGCUUCAGUUCAACCCCUCACUGAUGUUCCUGGAGCCUCAGGAAGCAGUGCGUGAUUGGCUGAGUGGGCGGAGAGGGGUGGUGGUACCAGGAGCAGGCGUGGCUCUGCCCUACCUGCCGCCAUUUGCCAGCACUCUGAGCACGCUCAGUGCGCUGCUUCAGGCCAAAAACUCUUUGACCAAAUCAUCUCUGCAGCUGCUGCGUCAAGACUCUGAACCUCGGCACUGCCAAACCAAAAUCGUGUCUGACAACAGUUCAGAAAACACCUCCAGUCAGCUUCCACCCGACCUGCCAGACUCCACCUCUGACCUCAGACCAGCCGAGCAACCAGCAGCUCCCUCUGUCAGCUCUGACGUCCUGCAGGAGGAGAGAGGAGGAGGAGGAGGAGGAGGAGGUGCUUGUGGCGGCAGUGCGUGAGCUUGUGACAGAGCGUUUCUCUAGUAACCCCGCCUACCAGUUGUUGAAGGCCCGCUUCCUGUCACUCUUCACUGUCCCCGCCCUCCUUGCUACCAUCCAGCCAAUAACAGAGAAGACUGUGGCUCGCCCAGCCACUCAGGAGGAGGAUGAGGAGGAGGAAGAGGAGGAAGAAGUGGCAAAGCUGAAGAAAAUCAAAGAAAGGGGGCGACAGAGAGCACAGGGAUCUGUGCUGAUGUGUGACACGUCAGGAGCGCCAGCCAAUCACUUCUCAGGAAUCAACGCAUCCGCCGCUGACCAGAACCGGCCAGUAGAACCCUGAUCACACAGAUCUACGAUCACAUGUUCAGAUCAGUUCAAUGCUCCUCUUUAUCCUGGUUCAACAGCUGUUCAUCUGAAAUGAUCUGAUUUCUUCAGAUUCAUUUUGAGAUUAGUUUAAAAAAUGACUUUUCAUUAGAUGACAAAAAACAUUCCUACUCUCGUUCAGUUUUAGUUUUCGUUGUAACAUUAAAAAUCUUAAAACAUUUCAGAUCUGGUUUCAGAGCUCAUAGAUAACAACCAGUAAAAAUAAAUAUAAUACAAGAAAUAAAACCUUUAAUGUACUGACGAGAAUUUUAAAGAGUCAAAAAAAACAUGUCACUUUAAAAAAGAAAAAAUGUAGAUUUUCUGCAGUUGGAGAAAAGUAAAUCAGGUCAGAGCCUCAUGUUGCACUAAAAUAUGUUGAGAAGUUUUAAUUUACUUUGAAAUGUUUGAUGGUUUUGAGCUGAUGGUUUUGUAAUAAAGAAAGUUUACAUGAAGCAGUGUCUUCACACUUGUGACAACUGAUGUUUGACUUCGACUGUAACAACAAAGUGGACUGUGAGGACACACUGGACUGUGAGGACUCUGUAAGGACAUUGGACUGUGAGGACACAGUGGACUGUGAGGACUCUGUAAGGACAUUGGACUGUGAGGACACACUGGACUGUGAGGACUCUGUAAGGACAUUGGACUGUGAGGACACAGUGGACUGUGAGGACUCUGUAAGGCACAGUGGACUGUGAGGACUCUGUAAGGACACUGGACUCUGAGGACUGUAAGGACACACUGGACUGUGAGGACUCUGUAAGGACAUUGGACUGUCAGGACACAGUGGACUGUGAGGACUCUGUAAAGACACUGGACUGUGAGGACACUGGACUCUGAGGACUGUAUGAGACACACUGGACUGUGAGGACUCUGUAAGGACAUUGGACUGUGAGGACUCUGUAAGGACACUGGACUGUGAGGACACUAUGGACUGUGAGGACUCUGAAAGGACACUGGAAUGUGAGGACUCUGUAAGGGCACAGCACUGUAAGGACACUGGAAUGUGAGGACACUGGACUGUGAGGACACAGGUGACAUUUGGACCAUCCUGUUGGUUUCUGGUUUCUCCGUCCGUAACUUCUCAGUUUGACACAUUGUGCUUUUCUUGGUUUAAACGGAAAUGGUUUGUAUUUAUAAAGAUCUUUUCUCGUC